rnacentral:rRNA from 1 species
AGUGAACGCUGGCGGUAGGCCUAACACAUGCAAGUCGAACGGCAGCACAGUAAGAGCUUGCUCUUACGGGUGGCGAGUGGCGGACGGGUGAGGUAUACAUCGGAAUCUACUUUUUCGUGGGGGAUAACGUAGGGAAACUUACGCUAAUACCGCAUACGACCUACGGGUGAAAGCAGGGGAUCUUCGGACCUUGCGCGAUUGAAUGAGCCGAUGUCGGAUUAGCUAGUUGGCGGGGUAAAGGCCCACCAAGGCGACGAUCCGUAGCUGGUCUGAGAGGAUGAUCAGCCACACUGGAACUGAGACACGGUCCAGACUCCUACGGGAGGCAGCAGUGGGGAAUACUGGACAAUGGGCGCAAGCCUGAUCCAGCCAUACCGCGUGGGUGAAGAAGGCCUUCGGGUUGUAAAGCCCUUUUGUUGGGAAAGAAAAGCAGCAGGUUAAUACCCCGCUGUUCUGACGGUACCCAAAGAAUAAGCACCGGCUAACUUCGUG